rnacentral:rRNA from 1 species
ACGAACGCUGGCGGCGUGCUUAACACAUGCAAGUCGAACGGAAAGGCCCUGCUUUUGUGGGGUGCUCGAGUGGCGAACGGGUGAGUAACACGUGAGUAACCUGCCCUUGACUUUGGGAUAACUUCAGGAAACUGGGGCUAAUACCGGAUAGGAGCUCCUGCUUCAUGGUGGGGGUUGGAAAGUUUCGGCGGUUGGGGAUGGACUCGCGGCUUAUCAGCUUGUUGGUGGGGUAGUGGCUUACCAAGGCUUUGACGGGUAGCCGGCCUGAGAGGGUGACCGGCCACAUUGGGACUGAGAUACGGCCCAGACUCCUACGGGAGGCAGCAGUGGGGAAUAUUGCACAAUGGGCGGAAGCCUGAUGCAGCAACGCCGCGUGCGGGAUGACGGCCUUCGGGUUGUAAACCGCUUUCGCCUGUGACGAAGCGUGAGUGACGGUAAUGGGUAAAGAAGCACCGGCUAACUACGUG